AAUCAAUAAGAAAUUUGGGGAUAAAUUCCAGUUUAUUUCAGUAUUCUACUAGUUGCUGCAAUUUAAUUAAAGAAAUAAAUAAUUAAAACAACACUUAAUUUUAAUGAUGUUUUUACUCACUUUUGUUUAAUGUAGAAAAUACAGACAUCUUUAUGGGAAACAUUUGAAACUAGUUACAAGAAAUUUGAUUCUAAAGCAACUCCUACACAAAAUGUAUCUCGAAAUUUCUUAUCAACUGAUUAUGGUAAAUCCAAAGAUAAAAGAGACUAUCUGUGGACAUCUACCAAAAGCAGUUUGUCUACACCAGUACCAAAGGGCGCAGUGGACAUCUUUUGUUUUCCUGUUAUUAUAGCAGGUCUUUGAGAUGCUGCAUCUGCCUGUUCACCUGCCAGCUCACCAGUGUGCUCUACAGCUUUUUUGCAUAGUGCCCUACACCGAAACAUUUUGUUCGUCCUCUGCUGUAAAUGAUCUCUUAUGAGUUCCAGUCCCAAUCCUCUAAGAAAAUUUCUGUGAUAUUUUGCAGUUGUUAUUUUCUUUGUAAACUAUGAAACUAUU
rnacentral:lncRNA from 1 species